rnacentral:rRNA from 1 species
CAGUAGCCGCGGUAAAACGAAAGGGGCUAGCGUUGUUCGGAAUUACUGGGCGUAAAGGGCGCGUAGGCGGCCAUUCAAGUUAGAUGUGAAAGCCCUGGGCUCAACCUAGGAAUUGCAUUUGAUACUGUUUGGCUUGAGUUCGGGAGAGGUGAGUGGAAUUCCCAGUGUAGAGGUGAAAUUCGUAGAUAUUGGGAAGAACACCAGUGGCGAAGGCGGCUCACUGGACCGACACUGACGCUGAGGCGCGAAAGCGUGGGGAGCAAACAGGAUUAGAUACCCCCGUAGUCCCUGUCUCUUAUAC